ensembl:lncRNA
AUCACUGGUUGGAAAUGCCUCUCUUGUGGAGUUUCUAUUGCAAAUCUACAUCUUCAGAGACUUGUGAGCACUUCUCCAUUUUCUUGUAACAUCCUCCUAUUGUGCUGGUCCCUUUGCUGUUACAAGGAGUAAAAUGGCAAGUAUUUAGAAAUUCUGCUUUCUCAGAGACUUUCCAGGUCUGUAGGUGACAGAAGUAACGCUGACAAGUGGAUUUUGCAGCUGCAUGCAAUGGAUUUGCAUUAAAAAGCAGAGAUGUGCUGGAUGCCUCUGGGGCUCAGUAGGCAGAUGGGCACUGAGCAGGACCAUGCUGCAGGUCACAGCCCUGCUGCACCCAAGAAACUGCUCACUGCUUCAGAAUCCUUUGCUUGGAGAACUUCUGUGGCAAAACACAAGGCAAUUUGAACUAGAUGUAUCACGGCAAAACUGUAUAUGACAGUAAUGUCCUUUUUCUCCUCAGACCACUGCAUGAACUAAAAUAAGUCUUAUAGUUGAACCUAGCCUCUGCUAGUAAUCUCUCUGCUGUCUAUAGUACAACUGUGGAUGUGAUGUUACAGCAGUACUCAUAAGCUCUGAUGGCCCUAUGUCAAAGCAAGAGCCACAUCUUCCUGUCUUUCAACCCAUGCUAAGGGCACCUGGGUGAAGGCAUACUCCUGGUCCUGCUAGGGGGAGAAUGUGGGGAUUCUGUGCUGAGGUCCAUUGCAAAUGUGAGGCUGUGUCUUGAUCUGUUGGCAGACAUGCAGUGUCCCCUCCUUCCUCCUAUAAAUGUUUUUUUUUCUUGAUUAAUGGUCUGUAUCUCCACUUUGGUUUUAAUGGCCUAACUUAGAGCAGUUCUAUAUAUUUGUGUCCCUACAGCCAGCAAAAUGUCCUUAAUUAUAUGUCUUUAUAUGUCUGAGGAAAAUUUCAGGUUUGAAAAUGGAGAGAAGAGAGGUUUCUAUAUUUGUAGGGCUGUGCCUGUUAGAGCCCAGCAGUUUGAGCCUGAUGGCCCUGUUUCUGAUGUGUGGUCCAUGGACCUACCACCACCUUCCCUGUGUGGGAGUGCUCAGAUGUGAUUUCUGCAGGGAUCAUG